UCACAAAUCUAUAAUAUGCAGG
rnacentral:miRNA from 1 species